GCCAGUGUGGCAUAGUGGUUUUAGUGUUGGACUAUGACUCUGGAAACCAGGGAUUGAUUCCCAGUUUGGUCA
rnacentral:tRNA from 1 species